UUCAAGUGUCCUUCCUUCGUCAUCUACUUUAUUUUUACGUCCAUGGUUCACUUCAUUACUUGUAUUGUUUUCUGAGUGUGGUAAAAAGGGGAGGAUUAGGUUUGACUUUUUACUAGCUUCGUCAUCAUUUUUCUUUUAAAGUUACUCUUAUUUUAGUAUUCUUAUUCUAUUACUGCAUUACUCAUCAUCCUCCUUACACCUCAAGGCGUAAGCAUUCAUCACACCCGGUACGUUCGCAUUACCACUAUCAAUCAGCAUGCCAUUCUCACAUUUACUUCAAACUAAGAUCGUACACUUUUUCUCACACCACGCAUUCUACACUUUCUAUUCCCAUUUUCGUCUUGUCACGUAUACCCACAAUUCAGUAUGUCGACCGUAGACACCGUUAUUGCCGAACCAACUUACGAGAGCAGAGGCCAGCUAAUCGUUUCUGUCGAGGGGAAUAUUGGAAGCGGGAAAAGCACGUUCCUCUCCUACUGCUCACAGGAUCCAGCGUUCGACGUUUUCAGUGAGCCUGUCGACACUUGGUCUAAUGUCGGUGGGACCAACUUGCUCGAGCAAUUUUACUCGGAUCCUGCGAAGUGGGGAUUCCCAUUUCAAAUGGAAGUAAUGAUUACUUUGCUCGAUCGCUAUCUGCGAAUCUCACCACGUCGUAUCAAGCUAGUUGAGCGGUCACUGUUGAGCGCUCGUCAUUGUUUCCAGCGGUGUAUGCUUGCACAUGGUCAUUUGGAUUCCGUUUCAUCUGCGAUCCUGAACCAAUUCCAUGAUACUGUCCGUGAUCAGUGGAGAGCAAUUCCUCAGAUAAUAGGUAGCUUUGUU